CCGCAGCGCUGAUACAAGGUAUUCAGUAAACUGUGAGCCGGGCGCAGAGCUGGCUGACAGCGGGAGGAGACAUCCAACCUCCCGCAACAAUUCAAUGAAUAUUCUUUGCAGGGUUGUGGAAAAGGGGCGAAACCAUUGCAGGAGAAAGAAAACAGCAACGCCUGCAGCACUGACGUCUUAUCAACAACAGUGAACAAACAUGGCCGUGAGUAUGGACGACAGUCAAAAGCAACCAGAAAAACGAAUGAACUUCCAUCACAGAAAAGAGGUCCGAGACUCUAUUACCAUUCCACCUUCAUUUAGAUCUAGUCAUCUGGCAUCAUCUUACUUCUUUAAAGGAAAGACGGGAGAGUUGAAACGAACGGAGCCAACAUGCGGUCCACAUAGUUACUAAUCCCCUGUGUGAGAUUGUCAUUCCCCGAGAUGAUCAGUCUCCCUGGUAUUGGGUCUUUCAUUUUGUGUAUCUUAUGUAUUAUAGUCUUUUUUAUCCAUUACGACGAUGUUGCCCCCCUUAUCGGAGGGCUUGAUUAUAAUAGAAUCAUUUUGUUCUAACUGUUUUAAAGCAUGGGCCUCUCCUGGUGUUAGGUUAAAUCUUCCUCUUCUGGGUUUUAGUUCAUUAAGCUCUUUGCUCACUACCUCAACAAACAUUUCUGUUUUUAUAUUGAUUGAAAGGUGGGGUAAGCUUUGAUUUCGGUUUG